GUUCAUUGCUUAUGUCUAGAGAUCCUGAGGAUAAGGCAGAUUUAGUGAUAACUCUGCAUGGUGAUGCUAUUCCUGUCUCUGAAAUUGAUAAAGCAUCUAUUCGCAAUGCAUAUUUGGCGAGGCAUCCCAAUGCAUUUUGGGUUGACUUUGGCUACUUUCAAUUCCUGCGCAUUCAACCAAAAGUGGUGAGAUAUGUGUCCGGGGUUGCGACGGCUUUGCUAGGAUCUGGAGGUUU